rnacentral:rRNA from 1 species
GAUGGACGCUGGCGGCGUGCCUAAUACAUGCAAGCCGAGCGAACAGACGAGGAGCUUGCUCCUCUGACGUUAGCGGCGGACGGGUGAGUAACACGUGGAUAACCUACCUAUAAGACUGGGAUAACUUCGGGAAACCGGAGCUAAUACCGGAUAAUAUAUUGAACAGCAUGGUUCAAUAGUGAAAGACGGUUUUGCUGUCACUUAUAGAUGGAUUCGCGCCGCAUUAGCUAGUUGGUAAGGUAACGGCUUACCAAGGCAACGAUGCGUAGCCGACCGGAGAGGGUGAGCAGCCACCCUGGAACUGAGACACGGUCCAGACUCCUACGGGAAGCGGCAGGAGGGAAUCUGCCGCAAUGGGCGAAAGCCUGACGGAGCAACGCCGCGUGAUGAAUGAAGGUCUUCGGAUCGUAAAACUCUGUUAUUGGGGAAGAACAAGUGUUUAAGUAAGUAUGCGCGUCUUGGCGGUGCCUAAUCAGAGAAGCACGGGUGACUACGUG